rnacentral:rRNA from 1 species
AGUGAACGCUGGCGGUAGGCCUAACACAUGCAAGUCGAACGGCAGCACAGUAAGAGUUUGCUCUUACGGGUGGCGAGUGGCGGACGGGUGAGGAAUACAUCGGAAUCUACUUUUUCGUGGGGGAUAACGUAGGGAAACUUACGCUAAUACCGCAUACGACCUACGGGUGAAAGCAGGGGAUCUUCGGACCUUGCGCGAUUGAAUGAGCCGAUGUCGGAUUAGCUAGUUGGCGGGGUAAAGGCCCACCAAGGCGACGAUCCGUAGCUGGUCUGAGAGGAUGAUCGGCCACACUGGAACUGAGACACGGUCCAGACUCCUACGGGAGGCAGCAGUGGGGAAUAUUGGACAAUGGGCGCAAGCCUGAUCCAGCCAUACCGCGUGGGUGAAGAAGGCCUUCGGGUUGUAAAGCCCUUUUGUUGGGAAAGAAAAGCAGCAGGUUAAUACCCCGCUGUUCUGACGGUACCCAAAGAAUAAGCACCGGCUAACUUCGUG